rnacentral:pre_miRNA from 1 species
UGUUUGAAUUGGUGGGGCUUAGGCUUAAUGCCUUUGGAUGGGCUAUAAAUGGAAUUAAAGUUCCCACUAUCUGAAGGAAUUGGGUCUAAUCUCUUCCUAUCCAAACA